rnacentral:rRNA from 1 species
ACGUAGGGGGCGAGCGUUAUCCGGAAUUAUUGGGCGUAAAGAGUGCGUAGGUGGCCAUGUAAGCGCGGGGUGAAAGGCAAUAGCUUAACUAUUGUAAGCCUUGCGAACUGUGUGGCUUGAGUGCAGGAGAGGAAAGUGGAAUUCCUAGUGUAGCGGUGAAAUGCGUAGAUAUUAGGAGGAACACCAGUGGCGAAGGCGACUUUCUGGACUGUAACUGACACUGAGGCACGAAAGCGUGGGGAGCAAACAG